rnacentral:lncRNA from 1 species
UGAAUCAACCAUAGAACCCCUAACGCGUAAGCGAGAAAUUCUGUUGUUGUUUCCACCAACGAUUACUGCAAUUGGAGUGGGUGAUAUGAAGAAGGUUUUGCUGUGCGAUGAUUUAGGAAUGAGAAUGAGCGCAGAGCCACAACAAGAAGAUGCACACGCAGACCCAGCCAUCUAGAUUCAAUUUUUGAUAAUCAGCGAUGCUGUGAACGAUGGUUGUUCUAGUCAAAGUGAAACGCUUUCGCCGCAGAAUGUUUACAAAGAGAGAACACAGUUUUUGUGUUGCCAACUGUUUCUCUUUCCGUGUUUGGAAAGUUAUCGUUGCUGUGAAAAAUGUUAACUUGAGUCAAAGAAAUGUUACAAUCUAUUAGUACUUCAAUUCAAGUUCAAUGGAACUCGCAUCAUCUCGACUCGAUAAGAAAUGGUUCAGCUCGAAACUUGGUUUGAAUUUGAUACAAACUCUUAUUUCAGUUCG